AUUUAUGCAUGCAAGUUAUACACAUAACGAUUAGUCACCUCACAUUCAGCCAAACUUGUAAACUAAGAUUGCAAGAAAAAGCUUAUCAUCUACAAUACACUAUCGAAUCUCCAUCACCUAAGCACAUUUUUACAUCACGGAAACUGAAAGCCUUAAUCUGCUUCAAAUUUAAAGCUUAUCUAAUAGCUGCAAUCACAGAUGGAGACCAACAGAAAAUGAGACUAUAUCACUCCAUCUACAUGCACACUAUUCUACCCCACCAAUUCUUGCAGAUUGCUCUAAUGGAACCUGGUAUCACCAUGAUCCUCAGAAUUACUGAGCAUAAUGAACAAAAUACACAUAACAAUCCUCAUUUUAGCCAUUUUAGAUCAAUCCAAUAUCCUCAACAUCCUCGCACAAGGGUUAUUUUCACAUUAGAACAAGUAGAAUGCCAGCAAGGACCCAAAUGAAAACAAGUAUAAAAAAAGGAAAUAGAAACCUGCAAUCGUGGCGAAGAUUACG
rnacentral:misc_RNA from 1 species